rnacentral:rRNA from 1 species
AUUGAACGCUGGCGGAAUGCUUUACACAUGCAAGUCGAACGGUAACAGGUUAAGCUGACGAGUGGCGAACGGGUGAGUAAUACAUCGGAACGUGCCCAGUCGUGGGGGAUAACGUAGAGAAAUUUACGCUAAUGCCGCAUACGAUCUAAGGAUGAAAACGGGGGACCGUAAGGCCUCGCGCGAUUGGAGCGGCCGAUGGCAGAUUAGGUAGUUGGUGGGGUAAAGGCCUACCAAGCCGACGAUCUGUAGCUGGUCUGAGAGGACGACCAGCCACACUGGGACUGAGACACGGCCCAGACUCCUACGGGAGGCAGCAGUGGGGAAUUUUGGACAAUGGGCGCAAGCCUGAUCCAGCCAUUCCGCGUGCAGGAUGAAGGCCCUCGGGUUGUAAACUGCUUUUGUACAGAACGAAAAGGUCUGGGUUAAUACCCUGGGCUCAUGACGGUACUGUAAGAAUAAGCACCGGCUAACUACGUGCCAGCAGCCGCCGCUG